rnacentral:tRNA from 1 species
UCCCCUGUGGCUCAGCGGGUUAAGAAUCUGCCUGCAAUGCAGGAGACCUGGGUUCGAUCCCCGGGUUGGGAA